ACCUUCUUGUAUAAGCACUGUGCUAAAAUUACAGAAACUGGGACCAUGUCUUGGUUUCUGUAAUAAUGCUAGCAGAGUACACACAGGAAGAAAAGCAACUGCACUAGAUUUUGAAAGACUGGGGUGGACCUCUUUCUUAAUGUCCAAUGUCCUUUGUCUUAAAAUCUGGUGCAAUAUGU
rnacentral:snoRNA from 13 species